rnacentral:rRNA from 1 species
AGUGAACGCUGGCGGCGUGCCUAAUACAUGCAAGUCGAACGGAGUGGCGCACGGGUGAGUAAUAUAUAGCUAAUCUGCCCCUUGCUGGGGGACAACAGUUAGAAAUGACUGCUAAUACUCCAUAGCAAGGGAUGGGACUAUAUCGUAUCAGCUAGUCGGCGGGGUAACGGCCUACCGAGGCGAUGACGCGUAACAGGUCUGUGAGGAUGAUCAGUCAACUUGUACCUGAGACACGGUCCAAACUCCUUCGGGAGUCAGCAGUAGGGAAUAGCGCGCAAUGGGGGAAACCCUGACGCAGCAUCGCCGCGUGGAGGACGACACUUUUCGGAGCGUAAACUCCUUUUGUUAGGGAAGCGGUACCUACCGAAUAAGCACCGGCUAACUCCGUGCCAGCAGCCGCGGUAAUAC